rnacentral:misc_RNA from 1 species
GUUGCUUUCCGUACGCCGCGCAGCAUUCCGGAUCUUGUCCGGGUCUUCCUGCUUCCGGUUCUGGCCGAUUAUUGAAGCGAUACCGGCCCAGAAUUUUUAUCAUACACGAUCAGUCAAGUUCAGGUAUCUGGUUCAGACGCGCACUUGAUAAAGUGUCGCAAAAGAAAUCUCGAGAGAAAACUGUCUACAAAUAGGGUAGAUCGAUAGAUACGCACUAGUGUACAAGAAAGAGACGCACGAAUUUCUUUAAAAGCCUUGAAUCUUGUGUCUAGAGGAUCUAUCCAUGAGAGCACACGAGCUUCCAGUUGAGUUGCAACCGGGAAACGCCAGUCUGGCUCAGUCCGGAAGUCGCGCGUCGCGGACGAUGAUGCGACGAUGAGCCGGGAAACGAAGAGAGAGAGAAGAGGAGAAACAGAGAGGCUCAUUGUCUAUGAAUUCCUGGUGUCCUUCCGCCUGGGCGUAUCACUGCGACCGGAUUGACUGCCUACGUGCAGCAACUCUCGGUUGGACGGACGCGCUACGUCGUCUACGUCUACGUGCAGCAGCGGCGCGGCUACUUUCACGUAGCGCAACGCGUGCAACGACUCUAAAUUCCGUUCUCCGCUUGAUCCGAUAAGGCGCCUCCAACGUGUCGAGCGGCCGCGACGCGAUCUCCUGGCGGAGGCUGAGAGGAGCCACGCGAGACGCAGCGAGCUCGAAGAGCGAUUCGAGGCGCGAGCGUGCUCAGUUUCCGAUCGAUUAUUCACUAUUUAUGAGCACACGAGGGCUCGUGUUUGUCGCCGACGUCAGUCCUGAGAGUGCAUCGUGUUCCACAUACGCUGCAUAAUUGAAAAAAGAAAAAAAACUAGAAAUACUUUGUCCCUUCUCUUUUUCUUGGCGAGUGCUGCAACUAAAAUUACCGCUCCGUGCUAGAUAGACUGAAAAUCCUCGCACCGUCUUGCGAAUUGAAUACUACUUUCCAAAAAUAGCGUCUAUCUUUGUAAAAUCUAUUUCUGAAGCGUUUCAGGAGGGAUUCCUUUGUACCUUUCUUUGACGCCAUAAUUCUAUUAUUCAUGGGAAACUGAUAAGAUCACACGUGGUAUCCCCUUUCGAAGCUCAACGAUUUAAAUGCCACAAGGCGGCGGACUGCUUUCGCCGGCUUUUUAUACCGGAUAUGAUAACGGGAAUAUGAUAAAGAGCGCUCUUUCGACGGACGCCUUGACGCGGGUCGGCAAGUACGCCGACAAUUGGCUAACGCGAUAAAUGAGUAGAAUAAAACGAAUUGACCGUACGAUAGGUUAGGAACAUCAGCCGACCGACCGGCCCAGUCGUCGGUCAGGCCUUCAGCUUCCUGUGACGCAUCCGAUUGAGCCGGGCAAAGAGGAAUGAGACGCAGUAUGAGCGACGCGACUCGCCUGGUACCACCAGACACAGGCUCCACCGUUUCUUUCAUGCGGCUGGGACACGACCAGACACUCCGGUUAGAGAGUCCGACUAAUCCAAUCCGCAAAUCCGCCGAUCUCCGUCAAACGUAAAGUUAAACCACUUCCAGCAAAGCGAAAUCGACGCAAGACACUAUUUCCUAUUGUAAAAGCAUGUGGCUGCUUGUGUCACCGUCAAGUUUCCAGAUGCUCCCUAGGAUCCAUGAUCGAAGGUUGCACUUGCGACUUCAUCAGGUAGAUUCACGGACUGGUGUUCGAAUACGCAAUAAAACUGCUGACGCCUCUCGCGGGAAUGGCUUUGAAUUCGGAGCAACGAAUAAUCUGAUUUUUCAACCCGAAGUACAUCUUAAAAUCUUAAGGCACGCGAAAAUGUAUUAAUAAAGAUCUCAGAAUAAAAUUUAAUUUUCUCGCAA